rnacentral:ncRNA from 1 species
GAAAAGGCGAUGAAGGGGAAGAGUAAAUCAUACCCAGUUACCAGAGAGGGAAACCCAUUGGCUGGAAGGUUUCCUUAACAUGGAUGAUUGAAAACCACCCCGAAGCUCCUACCUGAAGCUUAGUAAGGCUAGGCGUGAAGCUGCGUUAAUGCAUUGAGUGGACCGUAAGGUCAAUUUGGGUGGAACCGCGAGAACUCUCGUCCCAUUU